GAUGAACGCUGGCGGCGUGCCUAAUACAUGCAAGUCGAACGGAGAUAUUGUAGCAAUACGGUAUCUUAGUGGCGAACGGGUGAGUAACGCGUUGGUGACCUGCCCCGAAGAGGGGGAUAACAGUCCGAAAGGAUUGCUAAUACCCCAUACGGUCAUUGAGAUUAGAUGCUCGAUGUCCAAAGGCGAAAGUCGCUUCGGGAGGGGCCUGCGUCCCAUCAGCUAGUUGGUAAGGUAACGGCUUACCAAGGCGACGACGGGUAGGGGACCUGAGAGGGUGGCCCCCCACAAUGGAACUGAAACACGGUCCAUACACCUACGGGAGGCUG
rnacentral:rRNA from 1 species